rnacentral:rRNA from 1 species
CAUGCAGGCGGUCUGCUAAGUUCAGAGUGACAGUCAUCAGCUUAACUGGUGAAGUACUUUGAAAACUGGUGGACUUGAGAGCGAGAGAGGGACAUGGAAUUCCGGGUGGAGCGGUGAAAUGCGUAGAGAUCCGGAGGAACACCAAGGCGAAGGCAGUGUCCUGGCUCGUUUCUGACGCUGAGGUGCGAAAGCUAGGGGAGCGAACGGGAUUAGAUACCCCGGUAGUCCUAGCCGUAAACGAUGACCACCAGGCGUGGGAGGCAUUGACCCCUUCCGUGCCGCAGUUAACACGAUAAAGUGGUCCGCCUGGGGAGUACGGUCGCAAAGACUAAAA